GUAGAGAGGUAUCCUAAUUUUACAUAAAAAUACAAAAAAUGUAAGCCAACUUUGAGGUUUUCAAACGGCUAAAUCAGUUCAUUUUGCAGCUUAGAUAACAACAUCCACCGCAUCACUAAUUAAAUCCAAUUUCAACAUUUAUUUCAAAAGCCGUAUACUAUUCAAAUGAAAUAAUUCCAAACGCGACGGGAGACGGCGGAAACAGAGCGGAAGCAGGCAGGCGGAGGCGGUGGCACCGGUGCAGAACUUUGUUUGUCUCCGGAGACUUUCUAUGUCAGUCUCGGUGAAGUGAGUGAAC
rnacentral:misc_RNA from 1 species